rnacentral:miRNA from 1 species
CGAAGUGCGAGGGAAAGCUGAAG